AUUAUUAUUAUUAUUAUUAUUCACUUUAUAGCAUGACAUUUUAAUAUUAUUCUUUUUGUGAGCACUAAGCAAAGAAAAGAAUACUAUAAAAGGAACCAAGGUGGUGCCAAACCGAAUACAUUUGUAAAAUUAUUUAAACGACAAAAUCAAAGAAGCCCACGACAGCUAUACUUCUUGCUCAAAGGCAAAAAUCCCAGAAACAGUUAUUGGGAUAAGACUGAAACCUCUUCUUUCUCCCCUUAUGUGGUGACAUCACAAACCAAUUCAUUAUAGAAAAGGGGACUACAAUCAAUAGAUUGAACCUCAAAAAGCACACUUUUUAAACAGUUAUGCACAAUCUAGUCAGUCAAUAUUUACAUUUCAUAAUUUAAAGGAAAAGUCGAUGCCAUUAAGUGGGACCCUCCAGAUAACCACCGCACUAAUUGAUUUGGCAUUAGAUUCCCUUAUUUCCUUGUAAUUCAAUAUUCAUAUAAAACAGGGAUUCUACUGCUGAAUUUUACCGCAUUAGCGAAGGGCAAUAAUUGUCUUUUUGCUGAAACACAAGACAACAACUAUCUUGGGGACAAAUUAACAGAGAAAUCAGUAUGUAACCAUUUAUUACACUCAAUCAACAUAUAGAAGUAAAUAAUCAUGUGCACACAUAAGUAUAUUUAUAAUUUACAUGAACAGUUUAUGAGCAAAAUUCCACAGGCAUUGACUACUGUGAUUGAACUAGCUGGUUUUCCACUUUAGUGCAAUUUUUUUCUACGUUAACUGCCAAGAACAAAAAGGGUUGCACACUAAGGUUCCACCUGUAACCAAACUAUGAGAUACUUCUAUCAAAUUCAAAAAGAUCUAUUUCAAAAUUUCAGUAAAUAUAAGGAAUAUUGGGUAUGUAACCAAGAUCUUGUCAAAUUGGAUAUUGUUAUCAACCACAUAUUAUCAAAUCAACUUGAGAUCUACUUAAUCAAUGAAGUUUGAAUGUGAUGACCAUUUCAUUAGUAAGAAAAUAUAGAUGCACCUCUUACUUUAACUCCUGAGCAAGUUUGUU
rnacentral:misc_RNA from 1 species